AGGAUACACUCCUUACCCAAGGUAUACUGAAGCUGAGCCAAGUCAUGGAAGGCUUUAUAAAUGAAAAUCAACAUUUUGAACUGUCUUGCUGGAAUUUAAUUUGAGACACCAGAUGAAGGGACAACUCUGGAGACAUGGAGCAAGAAGUUGCUGUGCCUGAGCUGGGAUGUAGCAUGUCCCCAACAACUCUGAUAAACUACUGCUCUGAUCCCAAGAACCUAAAGAAGAUCCAGAAACAAACGGCCUCCUCCUUACUAUCUCUGGUCAGCUGUUGCUCAAACAGGUCCAAGCUGGGGAUCAGUUGAGAUUUGAGAGGUAUAAGGAGAGAAUCCUAUUUGAAAUAACAAGGCUCUCCUACUGCCCAAAGCAGAACGGGCCUAGAAGAAAGGAACCAGGAAUCAGAGGAGACAACAGACAUCCUCAGACAGCAUCACUGAGCAAAAAUAAUGUUUUUAUUGUGUUAGCCACCAUAAUCACUUAUGUGAAAUGGUCAUGUAACUCCGGUGAAUAAAACUAAGAGUGUAUACAUUGCAAA